rnacentral:rRNA from 1 species
CAGCAGCCACGGGAAUACGAACCGUGCGAACGUUAUUCGGGAUCACUGGGCUUAAAGCGCGUGUAGGCGGGCCGCCACGUCGGCUGCUGAAAUCCCCCAGCUCAACCGGGGAAGUGGCACCGAUACGAGCGGCCUGGAGGGGGGUAGGGGGGACUGGAACUUCCGGUGGAGCGGUGAAAUGCGUUGAGAUCGGAAGGAACGCCCGUGGCGAAAGCGAGUCCCUGGACCCUUACUGACGCUGAGACGCGAAAGCCAGGGGAGCGAACGGGAUUAGAUACCCGAGUAGUCCCUGUCUCUUAUA